GACGAACGCUGGCGGCGUGCUUAACACAUGCAAGUCGAGCGGUAAGGCCCUUUCGGGGGUACACGAGCGGCGAACGGGUGAGUAACACGUGGGUGACCUGCCCUUAGCUCUGGGAUAAGCCUGGGAAACUGGGUCUAAUACCGGAUAUGACUCCAUGACGCAUGUUGUGGGGUGGAAAGCCUUGUGCGGCUAGGGGAUGGGCCCGCGGCCUAUCAGCUUGUUGGUGGGGUGAUGGCCUACCAAGGCGACGACGGGUAGCCGGCCUGAGAGGGCGACCGGCCACACUGGGACUGAGACACGGCCCAGACUCCUACGGGAGGCAGCAGUGGGGAAUCUUGCGCAAUGGGCGAAAGCCUGACGCAGCGACGCCGCGUGA
rnacentral:rRNA from 1 species